rnacentral:rRNA from 1 species
CCAACAGGGAUUGCCCCAGUAACGGCGAGUGAAGCGGCAACAGCUCAAAUUUGAAAUCCGGCCCCCCGGGCCCGAGUUGUAAUUUGCAGAGGACGCUCCCGGCGCGGCGCCUUCCGAGUUCCCUGGAACGGGACGCCACAGAGGGUGAGAGCCCCGUCCGGUCGGACGCCAAGCCUCCGUGGAGCUCCUUCGACGAGUCGAGUAGUUUGGGAAUGCUGCUCAAAAUGGGAGGUAUAUGUCUUCUAAAGCUAAAUACCGGCCAGAGACCGAUAGCGCACAAGUAGAGUGAUCGAAAGAUGAAAAGCACUUUGAAAAGAGGGUUAAACAGUACGUGAAAUUGUUGAAAGGGAAGCGCUCGCGGCCAGACUCGGGCCCGGCGGAUCAUCCGGCGUUCUCGCCGGUGCGCUCCGCCGGGCCCGGGCCAGCAUCGGUCCGCGGCGGGGGACAAAGGCUCCGGGAACGUGGCCCCCACGGGGGUGUUAUAGCCCGCUGCGCAAUGCCCCGCGGCGGACCGAGGUACGCGCCCCGCAAGGAUGCUGGCGUAAUGGCCUCCAGCGACCCGUCUUGAAACACGGACCAAGGAGUCGUCUUCGUAUGCGAGUGUUCGGGUGUCAAACCCCUACGCGCAAUGAAAGUGAACGCUGGUGAGAGCCUCGGCGCAUCACCGACCGAUCCUGAUGUUCUCGGAUGGAUUUGAGUAAGAGCAUACGGGGCCGGACCCGAAAGAAGGUGAACUAUGCCUGUGUAGGGUGAAGCCAGAGGAAACUCUGGUGGAGGCUCGCAGCGGUUCUGACGUGCAAAUCGAUCGUCAAACAUGGGCAUGGGGGCGAAAGACUAAUCGAACCUUC